rnacentral:rRNA from 1 species
AGCUCCAAUAGCGUAUAUUAAAGUUGUUGCAGUUAAAAAGCUCGUAGUUGGAAUUAUGGGUUUGCGCUUGGUUCAAUUUUGAUACCGUAGCGUGGACCCAUCCUUGGGUGGAACCUGUGUGGCAUUAGGUUGUCGUGCAGGGGAUGCCCAUCGUUUACUGUGAAAAAAUCAGCGCGUUCAAAGCAGGCUUAUGCCGUUGAAUGUAUUAGCAUGGAAUAAUAAGAUAGGACCUUGGUACUAUUUUGUUGGUUUGCGCACCGAGGUAAUGAUUAAUAGGGACAGUUGGGGGUAUUCGUAUUCCAUUGUCAGAGGUGAAAUUCUUGGAUUUCUGGAAGACGAACUACUGCGAAAGCAUUUACCAAGGAUGUUUUCA